rnacentral:rRNA from 1 species
GAUCCUGGCUCAGGAUGAACGCUAGCUACAGGCUUAACACAUGCAAGUCGUGGGGCAGCAUGGGAGAUGCUUGCAUUUCCCGAUGGCGACCGGCGCACGGGUGAGUAACGCGUAUCCAACCUACCCUUCACUCCGGCACAGCCCGUCGAAAGACGGAUUAAUGCGGGAUGCAGUCAGAAAGAUGCAUAUUAAUUUGACGAAAGGCCUUCGGGCCGGUGAGGGAUGGGGAUGCG